CGACUAUUAUUCCUCAUGCUAAUUAUUGCUAUUUAACAUGAUUUUAACUAUUUGUCGUACAUUAAACGUUAAUUACGAGUUGCUUCACCCAGAACUACUUAAGGUCAUUGUCUGGUUUUGCGGACUCAAACAUUA